AGCAGCCGCGGUAAUUCCAGCUCCGAUAGCGUAUAUUAAAGUUGCUGCAGUUAAAAAGCUCGUAGUUGAAUUUCGGGACCAAUAUGUCGGUCGUGCCUCGGUACGUACUGGCAUCGUUGGUUUCUCCCCUCUGACGAACCAUGAUGUCAUUUAUUUGGUGUCGUGGGGAAUCAGGACUGUUACUUUGAAAAAAUUAGAGUGUUUAAAGCAGGCUCACGCUUGAAUACAUUAGCAUGGAAUAAUGAAAUAGGACGUUUGAUUCUAUUUUGUUGGUUUCUAGGAUCAACGUAAUGAUUAAUAGGGAUAGUUGGGGGCAUUAGUAUUCAAUUGUCAGAGGUGAAAUUCUUGGAUUUAUUGAAGACUAACUACUGCGAAAGCAUUUGCCAAGGAUGUUUUCAUUAAUCAAGAACGAAAGUUAGGGGAUCGAAGACGAUCAGAUACCGUCGUAGUCUUAACCUAUAAACUAUAGCCGACCUAGGGAGUCGGAUGAUAGUUAAUUAUUUUAAUGUACUCAUUC
rnacentral:rRNA from 1 species